rnacentral:rRNA from 1 species
GACGAACGCUGGCGGCGUGCUUAACACAUGCAAGUCGAGCGGUAAGGCCCUUUCGGGGGUACACGAGCGGCGAACGGGUGAGUAACACGUGGGUGACCUGCCUUUAGCUCUGGGAUAAGCCUGGGAAACUGGGUCUAAUACCGGAUAUGACUCCGCGGUGCAUGCUGUGGGGUGGAAAGCCUUGUGCGGCUGGAGAUGGGCCCGCGGCCUAUCAGCUUGUUGGUGGGGUGAUGGCCUACCAAGGCGACGACGGGUAGCCGGCCUGAGAGGGCGACCGGCCACACUGGGACUGAGACACGGCCCAGACUCCUACGGGAGGCAGCAGUGGGGAAUCUUGCGCAAUGGGCGAAAGCCUGACGCAGCGACGCCGCGUGAGGAUGACGGCCU